AGUGAACGCUGGCGGCAGGCCUAACACAUGCAAGUCGAACGGCAGCACAGAGGAGCUUGCUCCUUGGGUGGCGAGUGGCGGACGGGUGAGGAAUACGUCGGAAUCUGCCUAUUUGUGGGGGAUAACGUAGGGAAACUUACGCUAAUACCGCAUACGACCUUAGGGUGAAAGCGGAGGACCUUCGGGCUUCGCGCAGAUAGAUGAGCCGACGUCGGAUUAGCUAGUGGCGGGGUAAAGGCCCACCAAGGCGACGAUCCGUAGCUGGUCUGAGAGGAUGAUCAGCCACACUGGAACUGAGACACGGUCCAGACUCCUACGGGAGGCAGCAGUGGGGAAUAUUGGACAAUGGGCGCAAGCCUGAUCCAGCCAUGCCGCGUGUGUGAAGAAGGCC
rnacentral:rRNA from 1 species